AUUGAACGCUGGCGGCAUGCUUUACACAUGCAAGUCGAACGGUAACAGGCCUUCGGGUGCUGACGAGUGGCGAACGGGUGAGUAAUGCAUCGGAACGUGCCCAGAGGUGGGGGAUAACGCAGCGAAAGCUGUGCUAAUACCGCAUGUGAUCUGAGGAUGAAAGCGGGGGACCAAGCAGCAAUGUUUGGCCUCGCGCCUCUGGAGCGGCCGAUGUCAGAUUAGGUAGUUGGUGGGGUAAAGGCCUACCAAGCCGACGAUCUGUAGCUGGUCUGAGAGGACGACCAGCCACACUGGGACUGAGACACGGCCCAGACUCCUACGGGAGGCAGCAGUGGGGAAUUUUGGACAAUGGGCGCAAGCCUGAUCCAGCAAUGCCGCGUGCGGGAAGAAGGCCUUCGGGUUGUAAACCGCUUUUGUACGGAACGAAAAGGCUCUGGCUAAUCCCUGGGGCUGAUGACGGUACCAUAAGAAUAAGCACCGGCUAACUACGUG
rnacentral:rRNA from 1 species